rnacentral:rRNA from 1 species
UACGUAGGGGGCAAGCGUUGUCCGGAAUUAUUGGGCGUAAAGAGCGCGUAGGCGGUCCGAUAAGUCGGCUGUGAAAGUCCAGGGCUCAACCCUGGAAAGCCGGCCGAUACUGUCGGACUAGAGUCCGGAAGAGGCGAGUGGAAUUCCCGGUGUAGCGGUGAAAUGCGCAGAUAUCGGGAGGAACACCGUUGGCGAGGGCGACUUUCUGGGCUGCUACUGACGCUGAAGCGCGAAAGCCAGGGGAGCGAACAGG